rnacentral:rRNA from 2 species
CGAGGCAGAGAUGCGUAGCUGAUGGGAAGCAGGUUAAUAUUCCUGCACCGUCGUAUGAUGCGAUGGGGGGACGGAUCGCGGAAGGUUGUCUGACUGUUGGAAUAGUCAGUUUCUGGUUCAUAGAAGGUGCUUAGGCAAAUCCGGGCACGUAAUUCAAGGGACUGGGACGAAGAGUUUAGGCUCUGUAGCAAUCGGAAGUGGUUCCAAGAAAAGCCUCUAAGCUUCAGUCAUACGAGACCGUACCGCAAACCGACACAGGUGGGCGAGAUGAGUA